rnacentral:rRNA from 1 species
AGUGAACGCUGGCGGUAGGCCUAACACAUGCAAGUCGAACGGCAGCACAGUAAGAGCUUGCUCUUACGGGUGGCGAGUGGCGGACGGGUGAGGAAUACAUCGGAAUCUACUUUUUCGUGGGGGAUAACGUAGGGAAACUUACGCUAAUACCGCAUACGACCUACGGGUGAAAGCAGGGGAUCUUCGGACCUUGCGCGAUUGAAUGAGCCGAUGUCGGAUUAGCUAGUUGGCGGGGUAAAGGCCCACCAAGGCGACGAUCCGUAGCUGGUCUGAGAGGAUGAUCAGCCACAAUGGAGCUGAGACACGGUCCAGACUCCUACGGGAGGCAGCAGUGGGGAAUAUUGGACAAUGGGCGCAAGCCUGAUCCAGCCAUACCGCGUGGGUGAAGAAGGCCUUCGGGUUGUAAAGCCCUUUUGUUGGGAAAGAAAAGCAGCAGGUUAAUACCCCGCUGUUCUGACGGUACCCAAAGAAUAAGCACCGGCUAACUUCGUG